rnacentral:lncRNA from 1 species
AGAAUUUGAUUAAGGUUUGCAAUCAACCUUUCAGUGUGUAAGAUGAUUUAUAGUUUAAAUUUUGAUUUAUGAAUAGAUUAAAUCUGUUUAAAUAUUUAGAGAAAAUUUACCUGGUAUACUUGUAAGUAUAAUUACAUUGAACAUUAAAGAAAUAGCAAGUAGUAAAUUUGAUUGUUUGUACACACAAAAACUUGAAAGUCAACUCCUGAGAAGGUCUCCAAAGUUGGUUGGAGUUGGGAACAGGUGUGAUGUGUGGCAUGAACUAAUGGCACUUACGUUCAGCACAUUCAGCCGUCCACUUCCUAUGUCCCAGGACUCUUGGCUAUUAAUUCCAGUAUAAAUGAGGGAGGCUGACUUUCACUCAAAUUUUUUUUUGAGUGAUAUUAUAUUUAUAUCACUAACUCUAUAUCAC